GACGAACGCUGGCGGCGUGCUUAACACAUGCAAGUCGAACGGAAAGGCCCUGCUUUUGUGGGGUGCUCGAGUGGCGAACGGGUGAGUAACACGUGAGUAACCUGCCCUUGACUUUGGGAUAACUUCAGGAAACUGGGGCUAAUACCGGAUAGGAGCUCCUGCUGCAUGGUGGGGGUUGGAAAGUUUCGGCGGUUGGGGAUGGACUCGCGGCUUAUCAGCUUGUUGGUGUGGUAGUGGCCUACCAAGGCUUUGACGGGUAGCCGGCCUGAGAGGGUGACCGGCCACAUUGGAACUGAGAUACGGCACAGACUCCUCCGGGAGGCAGCGGUGGAGUAUAUUGCACUAUGGGCUGAAGCCUGGUGCAGCAACGCCGCGUGCGGGAUGACGGCCUUCGGGUUGUAAACCGCUUUCGCCUGUGACGAAGCGUGAGUGACGGUAAUGGGUAAAGAAGCACCGGCUAACUACGUG
rnacentral:rRNA from 1 species